rnacentral:rRNA from 1 species
GAUGAACGCUGGCGGCGUGCUUAACACAUGCAAGUCGAACGGAAAGGCCUCUGCUUGCAGGGGUACUCGAGUGGCGAACGGGUGAGUAACACGUGGGUGAUCUGCCCUGCACUUCGGGAUAAGCCUGGGAAACUGGGUCUAAUACCGGAUAGGACAAUGGGUUGGAUGCCGUGGUGGGAAGUUUUUCGGUGGGGGAUGAGCUCGCGGCCUAUCAGCUUGUUGGUGGGGUAGUGGCCUACCAAGGCGUCGACGGGUAGCCGGCCUGAGAGGGUGUCCGGCCACAUUGGGACUGAGAUACGGCCCAGACUCCUACGGGAGGCAGCAGUGGGGAAUAUUGCACAAUGGGCGGAAGCCUGAUGCAGCGACGCCGCGUGGGGGAUGACGGCCUUCGGGUUGUAAACUGCUUUCGCCUGUGACGAAGCGCGAGUGACGGUACUUGGUGAAGAAGCACCGGCUAACUACGUG